GUAGUCAUAUGCUUGUCUCAAAGAUUAAGCCAUGCAUGUCUAAGUAUAAGCAAUUAUACCGCGAAACUGCGAAUGGCUCAUUAUAUAAGUUAUCGUUUAUUUGAUAGUACCUUUCUACUUGGAUAACCGUGGUAAUUCUAGAGCUAAUACAUGCUAAAAAUCCCGACUUCGGAAGGGAUGUAUUUAUUAGAUUAAAAGCCAAUGCCCUCUGGGCUCUCUGGUGAUUCAUGAUAACUUCUCGAAUCGCAUGGCCUUGCGCCGGCAAUGGUUCAUUCAAAUUUCUUCCCUAUCAACUUUCGAUGUUUGGGUAUUGGCCAAACAUGGUUGCAACGGGUAACGGAGGGUUAGGGCUCGACCCCGGAGAAGGAGCCUGAGAAACGGCUACUACAUCCAAGGAAGGCAGCAGUCGCGCAAAUUACCCAAUCCCGACACGGGGAGGUAGUGACAAUAAAUACUGAUACAGGGCUCUUUUGGGUCUUGUAAUUGGAAUGAGUACAAUUUAAAUCCCUUAACGAGGAACAAUUGGAGGACAAGUCUGGUGCCAGCAGCC
rnacentral:rRNA from 1 species